GCACUCUGUCUCCACUCCCCAUUCAUUCGCUCAUCUGAAAAGGUCGACGAUGGUGAUCGUCGCAGGGACUUGCCAGAUGGGUGGUAGCAACAGUGCCGUGGUCUAGCCAGAGCCCAAAAUGAGAGGAUAGGAUGCCAGGACGCCGGGCCCGAGUUGAUUGGCACCUGAACGACGAAAGAGGAGUAGCACCGGGUAUGUCCUCCCAGGAACACGAAGGGGAGACGACACAUCGGAUAUGUCCUCCCAGGAACACGAAGGGGAGACGACACAUCAGGUAUGUCCUCCCAGGAACACGAAGGGGAGACGACACAUCAGGUAUGUCCUCCCAGGAACACGAAGGGGAGACGACACAUCGGGUAUGUCCUCCCAGGAACACGAAGGGAAGACGACACAUCAGAUAUGUCCUCCCAGGAACACGAAGGGGAGACGACACAUCGGGUAUGUCCUCCCAGGAACAUGAAGGGAAGACGACGAGUAAAAUAACAUUUUGGAUUUACGAGAGUCCGCAGAAAAGAAGUGGAGUCGGUUCACUUUGGCUUUUUCUCCCCCUUCUUCCUCUCUUCCUCCCAGCGUCUGUCUGGCUUGGUGCACUGCGACUGGGAAACUGUAGUUGGUAGCACACAGAGCUCUCUCCCUCUCUGCCAGUGGCAAACUGAGGAAGGCAGGCAGCGGCAGCUUCGUGACACAGCAAUCAGCUGACAUGGUGCUAUCCCUCAAUGUCCUGAGCAAGCUGGG
ensembl:lncRNA